rnacentral:rRNA from 1 species
AGUGAACGCUGGCGGUAGGCCUAACACAUGCAAGUCGAACGGCAGCACAGUAAGAGCUUGCUCUUACGGGUGGCGAGUGGCGGACGGGUGAGGAAUACAUCGGAAUCUACUUUUUCGUGGGGGAUAACGUAGGGAAACUUACGCUAAUACCGCAUACGACCUACGGGUGAAAGCAGGGGAUCUUCGGACCUUGCGCGAUUGAAUGAGCCGAUGUCGGAUUAGCUAGUUGGCGGGGCAAAGGCCCACCAAGGCGACGAUCCGUAGCUGGUCUGAGAGGAUGAUCGGCCACACUGGAACUGAGACACGGUCCAGACUCCUACGGGAGGCAGCAGUGGGGAAUAUUGGACAAUGGGCGCAAGCCUGAUCCAGCCAUACCGCGUGGGUGAAGAAGGCCUUCGGGUUGUAAAGCCCUUUUGUUGGGAAAGAAAAGCAGCAGGUUAAUACCCCGCUGUUCUGACGGUACCCAAAGAAUAAGCACCGGCUAACUUCGUG